UCCUAAUACGAAGCAUAAAUGGUGCUUGUGGCAUAUUCUCAAGAAGUUGUCCGAAAAGUUUGGAUACCACGUCGAUAAGGCUUCCAUUUUUUCUACCAUACAUGCAUUGGUUUAUGAUUCACAGUUCGUGGAAGAAUUUGAAGAAGGUUGGAGGGCGAUGAUUGACACAUAUGGGUUGCACAGUAAUGAGUGGUUGUCGGGACUAUUUGAUAAUAUAGGUGUUGGGUUCCUUGCUACUUGAAAACUACAUUUUGGGCUGGGAUGUCGACGACUCAGGGAAGUGAGAGUAUGAACGCAUUCUUUGAUGGGUAUGUUCAUUCGAAGACCUCGUUGAAGCAAUUUGUCAAACAGUAUAAACAGGUACUAAGGAAUAAGGUAAAGAAGGAGUUCCAGGCCGACUUCAAGUCAUACUCCCAAAUGGUACCAUGCACAACAAUGUUUGAAAUGGAGAAGCAAUAUCAAAACUGUUACACCAUUUCGAAGUUCAGAGAAGUUCAACCUGAGCUUAUAGGGAAAGUUUAUUGUGACAUCAUGUCUACUACGAAAGGCACUUCAUGCAUAACCUAUGAAAUACGGGAGUUUGUAAUGGUUGAUUAUAGACGAAAGAUCAAAAAGUUUUUCGUGUCAUUUGAAUGAGAUAAUUGCGAAAUUGUUUGUAGUUGUCAUUUGUUUGAGUUUCAAGGAAUUUUGUGCCAUCAUGCUAUCGUAGUCUUGAUCUGUAAUGAUGUCACGUCUCUUCCAGAUAGGUAUAUACUACGAAGAUGGAGGAGAGAGGUUUGUAGAGCACACACCAAGGUUGCAUUGAAUUAUGCCGGGUUGGUAUCUAUGCCUGAACAGUUGAGAUAUAACGAUAUAUGUCAGGCUUUUGUCGAGGUUGCAAACCUAGCAGCUAAUGAUAAGGAUGCUGCUAUACGAUCAAGGAGUGGAUAAAUAAUCAAAAGGAAGAGUUGAUGACAAUAAAAUUAGGCUCCGAAAGUAAUCGCAUUUUACAUCACGAUAUUCAGUUAGCCUCGCAGUGUAAUGAAUCUGAAAACAAUGCCAUAAGGGAUCCUAUAUCGACAAGAAGAAAGGGCGCUCCUAAGAAGCUUCAGAGAAAAGGCCGACUUGGAGACAUCUUCGAAAAAGGCAAAGGCUACAUUGCCCUCGACUAGAGGAAAUGGACCAACAUCCAGGCAUAGUGAUACACCGUCUGCACCCGUCGUCCAAGCAUCUCAACAAUAUUCUAUGCAGACAUCGUUUUCGUAUUCACAACUACUGUUGGGUGAUGUAGAAAGUCUUACCUUCUCGCAACACUGGCCAGCCUCAAGUUUGGUCCCCCAACAUCAACAAAUGUCAUAUUCAACGAUCAAGGUCGUUCGAUUCCAUACAGUUAACUAUCCACAUUUCCCACAAGAAGGUGGUCCAGGCAUAUGAACAAUGGAUGAAGAAUUUUUGGACUUUUGCUAUUCGUUCUUUGCUGUCUAUCAUGUUAGGAUUUUUGGGACAUUUUUUAUUUCGCGGAGUAAAAAAAAAUGCCUAAGAGCGAAAUGUUUCUAUUUUUGUUUGUGGGGAUAAUUCUGUAAAUUUGUCUUGGUCCAUUUCCACUAGGAAGGAAGGGUACAUUCUUGACCUCAUUAGUUAUUCAUAUCUCGACUACCACUGUACUAUGAUUGAUAUUCAAGCAUUUGUAAAUGACAAUUUGGCACUAUGCCUAUAAAAUAUCUCAAGACUGGAUCUUUUGUUA